UAGGCCGACGUAGCAAAGGGCAGCUACCGGGUGACCGGAUGCUAAUCUCUAAAGCUGGUCUCAGUUCGGAUCGAAGUCUGCAACCCGACUUCGUGAAGCUGGAUUCGCUAGUAAUCGCGCAUCAGCCAUGGCGCGGUGAAUACGUUCCCGGGCCUU
rnacentral:rRNA from 1 species